GACGGAGGAUGCAAGUGUUAUCCGGAAUCACUGGGCGUAAAGCGUCUGUAGGUGGUUUAAUAAGUCAACUGUUAAAUCUUGAGGCUCAGCCUCAAAAUCGCAGUCGAAACUAUUAGGCUAGAGUAUAGUAGGGGUAAAGGGAAUUUCCAGUGGAGCGGUGAAAUGCGUAGAGAUUGGAAAGAACACCCGUGGCGAAAGCGGCUCUCUGGAACGGUACUGACGCUGAGACGCGAAAGCGUGGGGAGCGAACAGG
rnacentral:rRNA from 1 species